CGUGGGAGAAGCAUUUGUGGAGCACAGCAGCACUUUUCUGACUGUCCCAGAGCUCCCCAUCUAGCACAAACACUGACAUGUUUGUUCAUUCCCUUCUCAGAUUCCUCAGAGGGGCUGGCAUUGGCAGCUGCAUCAUCCUGGUGCCUUGAGAAAGCGCUUCUGCACAGCAUUUCUCAUCACACCGUGACUGCUGCCUUGACAUUGUGCCGAGCUGACAUCCCAACCGGUCUGACACUGAUGCCUUUGGGCAGAAAUCAGAGCCGGUUUGCUCCAUGGCUCGGUGCAGCCACGACGCCUGUAGCGCCUCGCAGAGCCCCCAGUGCCCUGCUGGGGAAAUGGAGCGAGCACGUGGGCCCCAGAUGAACUCCGCAGGCACAGCAGCUCCUUGACUUCAGCUAAUUGCCAUGUUCCCUCGAAGGAGGAGUGAUGCCUCACCCAAGUUUCUCUGCUAUGGAUGUGAGGAGCUGAUCUCGGAGUUAUUCAGUGGUUUCUUACAUCAUUCCUGUGUUCCCAGCCGUGCCACAAGGCUUUCAGAAGGAAAGUUCCUCUGUCUGGUUCAGUGCCUGGUCACAGUGAGUUUUCCUGGCACAAGCGAGUGGAAAGAGCACUUUGGCAUGGAGAGGAAAUGA
rnacentral:lncRNA from 1 species